CUUGACUGUAGCUUGGAAUUGGGUUCGGGCUCUUCUUGCGCAGCCUAGGUGGGAGGCGUUGAAGGUUUUCUUUCGGGGGUACUGGAGCCAACAGUGAGAGACCACUCUGGAGGAGCUAGAAUUCUAAUGGCGUUCCUUGAAGCAGGACGCUUGACAGUUUCAGGUGGGCAGUUUGACUGGGGCGGUCACCUCCUAAAAGGUAACGGAGGUGUGCAAAGGUUCCCUCAGGCUGGACGGAAAUCAGCCGGAGAGUGUAAAGGCAGAAGGGAGCUUGACUGCAAGACCUACAAGUCGAGCAGGGGCGAAAGCCGGCCUUAGUGGUCCGACGGUUCCAUGUGGAAGGGCCGUCGCUCAACGGAUAAAAGUUA
rnacentral:rRNA from 1 species